GCAUGGGUGGCUCAGUCAGUUGAGCAUCCGACUUCAGCUCAGGUCAUGAUCUCAGUUUGUGGGUUCAAACCCCGCAUCAGGCU
rnacentral:tRNA from 1 species